CAGUAGCCGCGGUAAUACGUAGGGUGCGAGCGUUAAUCGGAAUUACUGGGCGUAAAGCGUGCGCAGGCGGUUAUAUAAGACAGAUGUGAAAUCCCCGGGCUCAACCUGGGACCUGCAUUUGUGACUGUAUAGCUAGAGUACGGUAGAGGGGGAUGGAACUCCGCGUGUAGCAGCGAAAUGCGUAGAUAUGCGGAGGAACACCGACGGCGAAGGCAAUCCCCUGGACCUGUACUGACGCUCAUGCACGAAAGCGUGGGGAGCAAACAGGAUUAGAUACCCCCGUAGUCCCUGUCUCUUAUAC
rnacentral:rRNA from 1 species